rnacentral:siRNA from 1 species
CUGCGACUCUUUCAUUCAUCUCAC